UACGAGGGGGGCGAGAGUUGUUCGGAAUUAUUGGGCGUAAAGGGCGCGUAGGCGGCCUUGUCAGUCAGGCGUGAAAGCCCCGGGCUCAACCUGGGAACGGCGCUUGGGACGGCGAGGCUGGAGUUCGGGAGAGGAGAGUGGAAUUCCCAGUGUAGAGGUGAAAUUCGUAGAUAUUGGGAAGAACACCGGUGGCGAAGGCGGAUCUCUGGGCCGAUACUGACGCUGAGGAGCGAAAGCGUGGGGAGCGAACAGG
rnacentral:rRNA from 1 species